ACUCAAAUGAAUAGACGGGGGCCCGCACAAGCGGCGGAGCAUGUGGCUUAAUUCGACGCAACGCGAAGAACCUUACCAAGGCUUGACAUUCACGGUAAAACUUCAGAGAUGGAGUGUCCUUCGGGGUCGUGGACAGGUGGUGCAUGGCUGUCGUCAGCUCGUGUCGUGAGAUGUUGGGUUAAGUCCCGCAACGAGCGCAACCCUCGUCCUGUGUUGCCAGCACGUUAUGGUGGGGACUCAUAGGAGACUGCCGGGGUCAACUCGGAGGAAGGUGGGGAUGACGUCAAGUCAUCAUGCCCCUUAUGUCUUGGGCUGCACACAUGCUACAAUGGCCGGUACAAAGGGCUGCGAUACCGCGAGGUGGAGCGAAUCCCAAAAAGCCGGUCUCAGUUCGGAUCGGGGUCUGCAACUCGACCCCGUGAAGUCGGAGUCGCUAGUAAUCGCAGAUCAGCAACGCUGCGGUGAAUACGUUCCCGGGCCUUGCACACACCGCCCGU
rnacentral:rRNA from 1 species